rnacentral:rRNA from 1 species
GACGAACGCUGGCGGCGUGCCUAAUACAUGCAAGUAGAACGCUGAAACUUGGUGCUUGCACCGAGCGGAUGAGUUGCGAACGGGUGAGUAACGCGUAGGUAACCUGCCUGUUAGCGGGGGAUAACUAUUGGAAACGAUAGCUAAUACCGCAUAAGAGUAGUUGUUGCAUGACAUUUGCUUAAAAGGUGCAAUUGCACCACUACCAGAUGAACCUGCGUUGUAUUAGCUAGUUGGUGGGGUAACGGCUCACCAAGGCGACGAUACAUAGCCGACCUGAGAGGGUGAUCGGCCACACUGGGACUGAGACACGGCCCAGACUCCUACGGGAGGCAGCAGUAGGGAAUCUUCGGCAAUGGACGGAAGUCUGACCGAGCAACGCCGCGUGAGUGAAGAAGGGUUUCGGAUCGUAAAGCUCUGUUGUAAGAGAAGAACGAGGGUGAGAGUGGAAAGUUCACACUGUGACGGUAUCUUACCAGAAAGGGACGGCUAACUACGUG